rnacentral:rRNA from 1 species
GUCGGAACGGUGAACACGGAGCUUGCUCUGUGGGAUCAGUGGCGAACGGGUGAGUAACACGUGAGCAACCUGCCCCUGACUCUGGGAUAAGCGCUGGAAACGGCGUCUAAUACUGGAUAUGUGACGUGACCGCAUGGUCUGCGUUUGGAAAGAUUUUUCGGUUGGGGAUGGGCUCGCGGCCUAUCAGCUUGUUGGUGAGGUAAUGGCUCACCAAGGCGUCGACGGGUAGCCGGCCUGAGAGGGUGACCGGCCACACUGGGACUGAGACACGGCCCAGACUCCUACGGGAGGCAGCAGUGGGGAAUAUUGCACAAUGGGCGGAAGCCUGAUGCAGCAACGCCGCGUGAGGGAUGACGGCCUUCGGGUUGUAAACCUCUUUUAGCAGGGAAGAAGCGAAAGUGACGGUACCUGCAGAAAAAGCGCCGGCUAACUACGUGCCAGCAGCCGCGGUAAUACGUAGGGCGCAAGCGUUAUCCGGAAUUAUUGGGCGUAAAGAGCUCGUAGGCGGUUUGUCGCGUCUGCUGUGAAAUCCCGAGGCUCAACCUCGGGCCUGCAGUGGGUACGGGCAGACUAGAGUGCGGUAGGGGAGAUUGGAAUUCCUGGUGUAGCGGUGGAAUGCGCAGAUAUCAGGAGGAACACCGAUGGCGAAGGCAGAUCUCUGGGCCGUAACUGACGCUGAGGAGCGAAAGGGUGGGGAGCAAACAGGCUUAGAUACCCUGGUAGUCCACCCCGUAAACGUUGGGAACUAGUUGUGGGGUCCAUUCCACGGAUUCCGUGACGCAGCUAACGCAUUAAGUUCCCCGCCUGGGGAGUACGGCCGCAAGGCUAAAACUCAAAGGAAUUGACGGGGACCCGCACAAGCGGCGGAGCAUGCGGAUUAAUUCGAUGCAACGCGAAGAACCUUACCAAGGCUUGACAUAUACGAGAACGGGCCAGAAAUGGUCAACUCUUUGGACACUCGUAAACAGGUGGUGCAUGGUUGUCGUCAGCUCGUGUCGUGAGAUGUUGGGUUAAGUCCCGCAACGAGCGCAACCCUCGUUCUAUGUUGCCAGCACGUAAUGGUGGGAACUCAUGGGAUACUGCCGGGGUCAACUCGGAGGAAGGUGGGGAUGACGUCAAAUCAUCAUGCCCCUUAUGUCUUGGGCUUCACGCAUGCUACAAUGGCCGGUACAAAGGGCUGCAAUACCGUGAGGUGGAGCGAAUCCCAAAAAGCCGGUCCCAGUUCGGAUUGAGGUCUGCAACUCGACCUCAUGAAGUCGGAGUCGCUAGUAAUCGCAGAUCAGCAACGCUGCGGUGAAUACGUUCCCGGGUCUUGUAC